rnacentral:rRNA from 1 species
GCUUAAAGGGGCCGUAGCUGGCCGGACAAAUCUCCGGGUAAAUCGGGCGGCCCAACCGUCCGAAUUCCGGAGACACUGUUCGGCUUGGGAUCGGGAGAGGGUGAAGGUACUCUCGGGGUAGGGGUAAAAUCCUGUAAUCCGGAGGGGACCACCAGUGGCGAAGGCGUUCACCUAGAACGAAUCCGACAGUGAGGGACGAAGCCCUAGGGCGCAAACGGGAUUAGAUACCCCGGUAGUCUAGGGUGUAAACUCUGCAGACUUGGUGUUGGGGGUCCUGCGUGGGCUCCCAGUGCCGGAGUGAAGAUGUUAAGUCUGCCGCUUGGGGAGUACGGUCGCAAGACUGAAACUUAAAGGAAUUGGCGGGAGAGCACCGCAACGGGAGGAGCGUGCGGUUCAAUUGGAUUCAACGCCGGAAAACUCACCGGGGGCGACGGAGGGAUGAAAGCCAGGCCGAAGACCUUGCCCGAUCCUCCGAGAGGUGGUGCAUGGCCAUCGUCAGUUCGUACCGUAAGGCGUUCUGUUAAGUCAGAUAACGAACGAGACCCUCGCCUUCAGUCGCUAUCUCACGAGUGGUCGUGAGAGCACACUGAGGGGAUCGCUGCCGCUAAGGCAGAGGAAGGAGAGGUCUACGGUAGGUCCGCAUGCCCCGAA